UACGGGGGGGGCAAGCGUUGUUCGGAAUUACUGGGCGUAAAGGGCUCGUAGGCGGCCAACUAAGUCAGACGUGAAAUCCCUCGGCUUAACCGGGGAACUGCCUCUGAUACUGGAUGGCUUGAGAUUGGGAGAGGGAUGCGGAAUUCCAGGUGUAGCGGUGAAAUGCGUAGAGAUCCGGAGGAACACCGAAGGCGAAGGCAGUGUCCUGGCGAGUAUCCUGACGCUGAGGUGCGAAAGCCAGGGGAGCGAACGGG
rnacentral:rRNA from 1 species